GAGCCUAGGCCGGGGAGGGAUUUGGCCACAGGAGUCAGAGCAAAAGCGAAACUGCAGCAGGAGCCCUCUCAUCAUCGGCAGCAGCUGGGCGAGAAAAGGAGAAACCCCGUUCCUUUCUCUACCACAAAAGACCCCCCCUCUUUCCCGAUCCCAGCAUAAGAGACGAGUGAGAGAGAGCAGCAUGAUCCAGCUCUUCACUGGAAGCGGAGAGGUCCAGAUUCCGCUCUGCCACAGACUGAACAGGUGGUCUUGGACAAGCCACCCUUUCUAUUUUAAGGGCUGCAGAGCAGGAGAAAAUCAACAGAUGGAACUUUCUCCAGUCCUCCAUUCCUAGGCCAGGAGAAGCUGCUUGUACUCAUUUGGUUCAUUUGGCUUCGCCUGUUGAAUCGUUCCAGGCAACUGGUAAAAGCACAGAUCCUUUCAGGAGCUCCCUGACACAUCCCGGUCUAGGAUGCUACCCAACUACAGUGAGUGCUUGCUGUUGUUGUGACUGCUCUGCUUCCCAAGAAAGACACCACAGGAUUUGCCAAAGCCUCCACAAGGAGCAAAGUCAGGAUGCAGAAUGGAUGCCUUGACACACACUGUUGAACGUGUUUUCUGGCAGACAGGAUAGGAGGGUGGGAUCCCCUUCCCUUAAUAAAUAAUGCUGGUGUACAAAUCACCAUCAUUGGCACUGCAAAUGCAGAGAGGGCUCCUGCAUCUUUAACUGAUUUGCAGGGGGGAAAAAGAAUUUCAGCAGAUGACAUUUGUAUAAUAGUGCAGUGCAACGGCUACAGUAGCAAACUGGACUUACAAAAUUGAGGUUGAAGUCUCUCUCCUCUUGGCUAUGAGACUUGCUGGGUGAAAUCAGAUCAAUCUACUGCACAACAUGGUUACGAGGACAAAAAGAGAGGAAUAGAGCCUUGACUUCUUUGGAGGAAAAGGUGCAUAAGUCCAAUAAAUAAAUAACAUAUUAAAAUAUUAAACAUGUCAGAUUCCUUCCCUGCUUUACAUUUGACGGUUACGUACCAAAGUGAUUUCAACAGAAAAGAUGCCACCUCUGCCCACCCAAAUCAAAUUUCAAUGUCAUUUAUUUCAGGGUAAGCACAAACAUGCUUGAAUCAGAGCUUGGAAACUCACCUUUUGGGGACUAUUAACUCCCAGAAUCUGGGGGGGG